rnacentral:rRNA from 1 species
AGAGUUUGAUCCUGGCUCAGAUUGAACGCUGGCGGCAGGGCCUAACACAUGCAAGUCGAGCGGCAGCGCGGGGUAACCUGGCGGCGAGCGGCGAACGGGUGAGUAAUACAUGGGAAUCUGCCUAGUAGUGGGGGAUAACUUCGGGAAACUGGAGGUAAUACCGCAUACGCCCUACGGGGGAAAGCAGGGGAUCUUCGGACCUUGCGCUAUUAGAUGAGCCUGCGUCCGAUUAGCUAGUUGGUGGGGUAAAGGCCUACCAAGGCGACGAUCGGUAACUGGUCUGAGAGGAUGAUCAGUCACACUGGAACUGAGACACGGUCCAGACUCCUACGGGAGGCAGCAGUGGGGAAUAUUGGACAAUGGGCGCAAGCCUGAUCCAGCCAUGCCGCGUGUGUGAAGAAGGCCUUCGGGUUGUAAAGCACUUUAAGCGGGGAGGAAGGCCUGAUGGCUAAUAUCCAUCAGGAUUGACGUUACCCGCAGAAUAAGCACCGGCAAACUUCGUG